rnacentral:rRNA from 1 species
UGGGGAAUAUUGGACAAUGGGGGCAACCCUGAUCCAGCAAUGCCGCGUGUGUGAAGAAGGUCUUCGGAUUGUAAAGCACUUUCGACGGGGACGAUGAUGACGGUACCCGUAGAAGAAGCCCCGGCUAACUUCGUGCCAGCAGCCGCGGUAAUACGAAGGGGGCUAGCGUUGCUCGGAAUGACUGGGCGUAAAGGGCGUGUAGGCGGUUUACACAGUCAGAUGUGAAAUCCCCCGGGCUUAACCUGGGAGCUGCA